rnacentral:rRNA from 1 species
UACGUAGGGGGCAAGCGUUAUCCGGAUUUACUGGGUGUAAAGGGAGCGUAGACGGUUAUGUAAGUCUGAAGUGAAAGCCCGGGGCCCAACCCCGGGACUGCUUUGGAAACUGUGUAACUAGAGUACAGGAGGGGCAGGCGGAAUUCCUGGUGUAGCGGUGAAAUGCGUAGAUAUCAGGAGGAGCACCGGCGGCGAAGGCGGCCUGCUGGACUGAAACUGACGUUGAGGCUCGAAAGCGUGGGGAGCAAACAGG